GAUGAACGCUGGCGGCGUGCCUAAUACAUGCAAGUCGAGCGAACAGACGAGGAGCUUGCUCCUCUGACGUUAGCGGCGGACGGGUGAGUAACACGUGGAUAACCUACCUAUAAGACUGGGAUAACUUCGGGAAACCGGAGCUAAUACCGGAUAAUAUAUUGAACCGCAUGGUUCAAUAGUGAAAGACGGUUUUGCUGUCACUUAUAGAUGGAUCCGCGCCGCAUUAGCUAGUUGGUAAGGUAACGGCUUACCAAGGCAACGAUGCGUAGCCGACCUGAGCGGGUGAUCGGCCACACUGGAACUGAGACACGGUCCAGACUCCUACGGGAGGCAGCAGUAGGGAAUCUUCCGCAAUGGGCGAAAGCCUGACGGAGCACCGCCGCGUGAGUGAUGAAGGUCUUCGGAUCGUAAAACUCUGUUAUUAGGGAAGAACAAAUGUGUAAGUAACUAUGCACGUCUUGACGGUACCUAAUCAGAAAGCCACGGCUAACUACGUG
rnacentral:rRNA from 1 species